UGGAGAUUUCAAUAAAUUUAUCUUCUUUAAUGUUCUUCCAAAGGUGAUCUUUCACCUUUUUCCAUUCGUUUAGCCCCUUUUUAUGCGAAAGUAGUCCGCUCAAUACAACAAUCGCAAGAGGUAAGCCUCUACACUUUUCCACCAUAUCCUCAGCUAGACUUUCCAUUUCUGGAACCAUUGCUCGAACAUCAAGUAGUUUCCUGCAAAAGAGAUCCCAACUUUCUUCUUGGCUUAGGAAACGAAGUUUAUGAACAAAACCUCUGUCGUCUGCUCUUUCAGCAACAUCCUCUUUGCGCGUGGUAAUAAUGACUCUGCUGCCCUUCUCGCCAUCCGGGAAUGCUCUUUUCAAACUUUCCCAUGCUUCUCUCUGCCAUAUAUCAUCAACCACUACAAGGUAUUUGCGUUCUUUCAGUAGAUCACGAAGGUGAUUUUCUAGAUCUCUUUCAUCCAUCUUUUCCAACAAUCCUAGAGUUCCCAUGGUGCAACCUUGGAUGGAUUUUAUGAUAGUCUUAAGAAGAUCCAUUGUGUUGUACUCUUGAGAAACACAUAUCCAAGCACGUGUAGGGAAGGUAUUGACUAUACGAGGACUUCUGUAGAGGUUUCUUGCAAGAGUGGUCUUGCCUAAUCCGCCCAUUCCAUAAAUGGAGAGAACGGUUCGACAAGGCUCUUCUUUGAGAAGUUGAGCUAGCAAUGUUUCUACAACAUCCUGAAGACCAACAAAAAUGUAAUCGUGGUCAUCGACAUAUGAGGUAGUUCUCCUCAAUGUUGUAACCUGAUUACUUGGCCCUUCAUCUCCUGAAAUGAUAUUCGUAAUACCAUAAGUCUCUCGUUUGCGAGAGAUAUCCAUGAUUUUUUUCUUGAGUGAUUUGAUCUCCUUGGCGACAUUGUAGAAUUUCUUCUCCUUGCUACAUAUGCAGGCGCAAGCCUUGAGACGACUAGGACGACGUUUACCAGCCUCGAAGCUAUAAGUUUCGAGUAUAGCAACAGCAUCAUUAGCAAUGGAGUUGAUCUCAAACACCCAUUGUUGAACUCUUUGAUCUCCACAUUGCUUUAGUUCUGCAUCUCUGAGGAAAGACUGCAUGAAGAGAAGCUCGUUUCGCAGCCACUGUAUAUCAUCUCUUAGACUUAAACGUAGGUUAAUUUCCUGUAUAAGGAAAUCACCCAAUUUUUGAACUGCAAAUGACACAAACGCAUCAGCCAUAUUUUUUUUAAUUGGAAACUAAUAUUUGGAGUUGAGAGAUGAAUAAUAUUGUUAGGAUGGAAUUCUAUAUUUAAAGCUUAGAAAGUUGAUAGAAUGGUAAAGAAGAAAAGUAUAUAUUCUAAGCUACUAAAUGCAAGCCAAGAAUUUAAAAUUGCAUCACACAAGUUAUGCUUAGUGUAGUGGUGAAAACAAAAGUUUGCCAUUUAAGAUUUAAUAUAUAUGUAUGAAAAACUAAAUUUAUAUAAUUUUUCAACGAAGAAUAUCCGACAGAACACCUGAGCUAUAUGUGAUUACUGCUUCAUUGGCACAAAUUGUGUGUUUAGAAAAGAAAUCAUGUCCCAAGGCACUAAGUCCCCCAAGGCAAACAACAACAACAAGUAGGGUCUAGAUAAGGCAAAAUGUAUGAAAACCUUACUACUAACUCGUAGAGGUAAAGACUGUUUCAGAAAGACACUCGGCAAUAAGUCUCGUUGCGAAAAUAUCAAGAUAUUUCUGUACUUUGUACUUUAUUUAAAAAGACAUACUAUUAUAUUAGAUGCAUUAUACAUAAAAUGUGCCCUUUAACUUGGCUUCAAAUCACAUUUAUGUCCUUCAACUUUGGAUGUGCACACAUAGACACUUAAACUUGUAUAAAGUUGAACAAAUAGACACACAUGUCCUAUGUGUAGUGUGCCAUGUAGGACUCAUAUGUUUAUUUAUUUAAAAGUUGGAUAGUUAAAAUGUCUAUUUGUGCAUUAUGAAAUAUAUAUAUAUAUUAUCCUAAAUUUUAUUAUUCAGAAGAGUUGGUUUUGAUUGUUCCUUUUAAAUAAUUAAUUACAUUCCAUUUGUUUUAUUUGAUCGAGACAUGUUUGACGCCAUUUUAAUCAGGACUAGAUGAUUAUUAAAAUAUAUGGUUUGAAAAUUUUCAUUGUAUCAAUGUGGUUAUAAAAUCAUAUAUUAAUAGUAAAAUGAGAAAUUUUUAAUUUAGUAUGUUCAUAUUUCAUCUUUAGACUAUAGAUAUAUUUCUUUUCUUUUUAACUAUCGAGAAUCUAUAACGACUUCUGAAUUUGAAGAUGCGUUUUGUAACUUUGAAGAGAAGAAAUAAAAUAUUCGAAUUCAACCUUGGAGCUUGAAGGUCAAGAUCUCAAAAUUGAUUAGCUGAAAACAAACUUUGUUUCAAAUUGGUGAUUUUUCAGAAGAAUCGAUGAACAUCGACGAGACUAAUAAUAUAAAAUUUGAGAUUAUUCGGGUAAAAUUUGAAUUAGAUUUGGACUCAAUUUUGAAUAAUAGUUCGUUGAAAAGUCGAAUUAUAUCAAAAAUCAUAUAUGAUAAUCAUAUAGUGACGGAUGCGUUAUAUAUAAAUUGUUUUUUAAGUUUGGUAUUUUGUUGUAAUUGUAUUUUCUUUUUCGGUCUCUCAUGUACGAUAUCCGCUAGAGCUCGAUUAUUUCAAAUUCGCGCCGCGUAAAUCUAUUUGAAGGAAGCUCUCUCUAACAAGUGAAUUUCACAGUAAUCUUUAGGGAUAAUGCUCAAAUACCCCCUCAAUCUAUGCCCGAAAUAUCAAAGACACACUUAUACUAUAUUAAGGUCCUAUUACCCCCUGAACUUAUUUUAUUAAUAAUAUUUUACCCCUUUUCGACCUACGUGGCACUAUCUUGUGGGUCCAACGAUGGUUGACUUUUUUUUUCUAACUAGUGCCACGUAGGCUAAAAAGGGGUAGAAAAUUACUUAUAAAAUAAGUUCAGGGGGGUAAUAGGACCUUAGUAUAGUAUAAGUGUGUCUCUGGGAUUUCGGGCAUAGGUUGAGGGGUACUUGUGCAUUUUCCCUAAUCUUUAAUACGAAAAUGGGUCCCUUUUUACUUUAAUUCAAAGAAGCAGAAUAUAUACUCGCUGGUUAAUUUUUUGCUUAACCAUCAUAUACAAAUUAUUAGUUGCAAAUUAUACAAAUGCGGCGAAUUAUACAAAUUUGAAAUCAAUGCAAGUAAUUAAUGUUUAGUAUUAGUCGCAAAUGAUAAUUAUAGCAAAUUAUAACUAUAAUGACUAAUUAAAUAAUAUAAAUUUGCUUCACCGCAUAAUUUUUCAUAUUUAUAAAUAAGUUGAUAAUGUAUAUGUUUUUAUAAAAUAUCAUUUUUUACAAAAGUAAAAUCCUUGUGCAAAUAUCAAACAAAACAUGUUAGCAAUCAUACUUAUAUGCAAAACUGCAACAAUGUGAUUAAAUUAGAAAUUUUGAUCUUUAUAAAUUAGAACUAGUUUCAGAAACGUGCGUUGCCCGUUUGUUUCUUAACUAUUUUAUAAAAUUUGUACUUGAUAGACUUCCUUUUGGUAGUUAUUCAUGUCACAUUAUUUUAAAAAAGGAAAAAUACCCAAGUACCCCCUCAACCUAUGCCCGAAAUCUCAGAGACACACUUAUACUAUACUAAGGUCCUAUUAUCCCCCUGAACUUAUUUUAUAAGUAAUUUUCUACCCUUUUUUAGCCUACGUGACACUAGUUUGAAAAAAAAGUCAAUCAUCGUUGAAUUCAUAAAAUAGUUUAUUUUAUAUAAUUUAAUCUUCAUGACUAUUAAAGAGACUCAUGUAUAAUACAACACAACAUCAUAUAAAAUAAUAUGUAAGAUUAUGAUUCAAUAAAGUUUAAAGAAUAUAAUACGAUAACAAUAAUAAUACAUUCAGUAAAUUAAAGUUUCACAAAUAGUGAGGUAUACAAGUUGUACCAAAAAUAAUAUACUCCAUGUAUGUUUUCCUAAGAAAAUAAUACGAUAACAAUAAUAAUAUAUUAAGUAAAUUAAAGUUCCACAAGUAGUAUGUUGUUGAAGCAUUACAAAUUGUGACACCAAAUCAAGGUUAUAAUUACAAAUUGUCUAAAGUGCAAAAUCAUUCUUGUUGAAGUCGAAUUUGUUGAUUGCUCAAUGAGGUACGAACAAUACUCGUUCAGCUAGUAAACUAGAGCCUACUCUUGUUGUCAUGACCCACGAAGAUUCAGUCAUUUGUCACUCUGAAUAUUGUCUCCAGAGGAGAUUCAUCGUUGAUUUUUGGUGUGUCCCUAAAUUCUAUAUGGUUUCGUUCAUCUUCAUUUCUUCUUCUUUUAUUCCAUUGGUUUGUUGAGAUAAAAUUUCAAAAAGUGUUUUGGUUUUGGACUUACAUUGUGGUAAUGUGAUUUUUUAUGUUUGUCGAAGUUGCAUGAAUUUUCCAGUUUAUGUCAAGUAUCAUCACUAGUAGUUAUCGAAUUUAGUUAAACAAAGAGGAACUGGAAAUAUAUAAUAAUUUAAAACUCAAUAACUUAAAAAGAACUAAAAUCUCGAGUGUUUAAUUACAGAAGAGAAAUGAAAACAAGAAAAGUGAAUGUACAUCACACAAUAAAGAUACCACAUAAAAACAUAGAAGCAAGUACAAACAUAAAAGAGAAAAUCAACAAUUUUAUGUAAGACUAAUUAGGAUAUGUUUGUCUAUUUUACCUUUGUUGUUAUCAAAUACGAAAAAAAGAGAAAUAAUAUAUUUAAUUGAAAAAAAGACAAUUUUGACUUAUUAAGUAACAAUUUUUUAGAUCAAAUUAUUGAAGACAGUGAUAUUUUUGAAUCAAACUAUCAGUUAAGGAUAUUUUUGUUUAUUUUACAUAAUUUAUAAGAACAUAAUAAACCCUAAAUCCGUUAAUUAAAUCAUCACAAAAUCCAAAAAAAAAAAAUUGUCUUCCAACACAUUAAGAAAAGCCAAAAAACAGAAAGAAAUUACACAUUGAAAAACCAAAACAGCCAAUUAGUUGAUUGAUGGUUGGAGAAGCCAAGUUGAUGAAGGUGAAUGUGCAGCUCUUCUCUGUUGAUUUAACACAAAUAUUAUUAAUUUAUAUAAAAAAAAAGAGAGAGAGAGAGAGAAAAUGAAGAAAAGUUAUGUUUGUAUAUUUACCUUUGCUAUUAUCAAAUACGCUUUACGUCUUUCAUUCUCUCAGGAAUCUCCUUCAGCUUUGGACAACGAUCGAGAACAAGAUCUUUAAUGAGAGGCAUAGCAUUUGUGCCUAAAUGCCAUGUUUCUAGGUGAUAAAGCAUAUAAAGAUGAAGAAAUUGUAGUUGACUGAAGCUGUUAUCACUGCACAUUAUUUCUUUUCCUUCGUAAGCUUCUUCUUCUAAUAUGAGAUUCCUUAGGUUUGGCAACAUUCCCAAGAUAGGCAUCGGAUCUUCUUUCAGUCUUGAGAAAUAAAGAGCUACCAUUGUGAUGGAAUUUGGAAACGGAGGCAGUUUCUCUAUUUUCCCUCUUAAAAACAAUUUUUGGAGCUUUUCACAACAAUUAACAAAUUCAAGGGAUGGGAAUGGAGAUUCGUAAGUUCCACAGCACAAUGUGAGAGUGCUAAGGUUUUUCAAGCUGCUAAUGUUGUGUAGGGAGUAAGAAUUAUUAAUUUCAAACAUGCUUAAUUCUCGAAGAUUGACUAAAUCAACAGGGUCAACAUCUUUCCACUGAUCACAACAGAUGCCAUCAACAACUUGAAGACUGGUGAGUUUGCAUAUACCUACCAAAGGUUCUGGAUACCGCACAACUAAAUGUCUUAGAUCUAUUAGCUCAGUUGUUUCGCUGGGUAACUGGCAUAAGCCUUGUGUCUUUAGGACACGAAGUGUUUGUAAAUUCUUGAGGUUGCCAAUGGAUGAUGGAAGACGACGGAUACCUUUCAACCUUAAGAACUUGAGGUGGUACAAACUCCCUAUGGCAUCAGGUAUAACACCACCUUCUAUAAUAUCCAAGUACAACACAUAUAUAUGUCGGAACCCAACUAUAUGUCGGGACAAAUUACAAAAAUCUGGAUCGAAGAACAUAAUUGACCUCAACUUCAAGUUAGAAAGAUUAAGUGAGAGGUACCUUUCUCCUCGACUAUGAAUGGCAUGUCUGACACAUGAAGAGGAAAUGGAGUGGCCUUUUGGAUCAUAAAUGUCAAAGAAGUUUACCUCCAAUGCCUUUUGUAUCGCAAGAUCAUGGAGUAAAUCAUGAACUCUACAUGAAGUAACUCUUUCCCAAAAUGUAUUAGCCACUUGAACCAAGCUUCGUCUUAUCAACUCAUUCAAGAAGCCUUCAGCAACAUCCUCCAUUCUUCCUUCUCGUCUGGGUAUGAAACCCUCAGCCAUCCACAACCAUAUCAUGUCAUCUGCAGUUACCACUUGAUCUUCUGGAAAAAUACCAAAGUAGAGAAAACACUGCUUGAGCGCAGUUGACAAAUCAUUGAAGCUUAAUGAUAAUAUGCAGGAGAUUUCAAUGGAUUUAUCUUCUUUAAUGUUCUUCCAGAGGUGAUCUUUCACCUUUUGCCAUUCGUUUAGCCCCUUUUUAUGCGAAAGUAGUCCGCUCAAUACAACAACUGCAAGAGGUAAGCCUCUACACUUUUCCACCAUAUCCGUAGCUAGACUUUCCAUUUCUGGAAUCAUUGCUCGAACAUCAAGCAGUUUCCUACAAAAGAGAUCCCAACUUUCUUGUUGACUUAGGAAACGAAGUUUAUGAACAAAACCUCUUUCAUCUGCUCUUUCAGCGACAUCCUCUUUGCGUGUUGUAAUAAUGACUCUGCUGCCAUUCUUGCUAUUUGGGAAUGCUCUUUUCAAACUCUCCCAUGCUUCUUUCUGCCAUACAUCAUCAACCACCACAAGGAAUUUGCGUUCUUUUAAUAGAUCACGAAGAUAAAUUUCUAGAUCUCCUUCUGUCAUCCUUUCCAACAAAUCUAGAGUUCCCAUGGUGCGACCUUGAAUGGAUUUUAUGAUAGUCUUAAGAAGAUCCAUUGUGUUGUACUCUUGAGAAACACAUAUCCAAGCGCGUGUAGGGAAGCUAGAGGCUAUAUUAGGACAGUUGUAAAGUUUUCUGGCAAGAGUGGUCUUGCCUAAACCCCCCAUUCCGUAAAUGGAGAGGACGGUUCGACUAGGCUCUGGUUUGAGAAGUUGAGCUAGCAAUGUUUGUACAACAUCCUGAAGUCCAACAAAAAUGUAAUCGUGGUCAUCUACAUAUGAGGUAGUUCUCCUCAAUGUUGUAACCUGAUCACUUGGCCCUUCAUCUCCUGAAUUGAUAUUUGUAAUACCAUAAGUAUCUCGCUUGCGAGAGAUAUCUAUGAUUCGCUGCUUGAGUGAUUGAAUCUCCUCUGCCACGUUGUAGAAUUUCUUCUCCUUCCUACAGAUGCAAGCGCAAGCCUUGAGACGACUAUGAAAUCCAUCAUCAUCACCUUUAUCAGCCUCAAAGGCGUAAGUCUCGAGUAUAGCAACAACAUCAUUAGCGAUGCCGUUGAUCUCAAACACCCAUUGUUGAACUCUAUGAUCACCACAUUGCUUUAGUUCUGCAUCUUUGAGGAAAGACUGUAUGAAGAGUAGCUCAUUUCUCAACCACUCAAUUUCCUUUCUCAGAUUUUUACGCAGCGAAACUUGUUGUAUGAGAAAAUCACCCAAUUUUUUAAGUGCAAAUGACACAAAGGCAUCAGCCAUCUUUAGGACUAACUAGUUUUGAUUGAAAAAAAAAAAAAAGAAGAGAAGUCUGUAUAGUGGAAUACAAGUUGGAAAAUGGGAGAUAAGCAAUAUAUAGACAUAAAAGUAAUGUGUUCAAAGGGUCCAUUUAUCACUUAGCAUACCAUUAUCAAAAAAGAAAAGAUGUAUUAAAGCUUUUUGAAAUUCCCACUAAAACGAAAGGUACUUUUUUUUUUAAAUUAAAGCAUCUUCAACAACCAUUACACAACUUAAUUAUGGAAAAAUAUAUAGAGAGAAAAGUCUUAAAAAGUUAAAGCAACUUCAACGAUCAUUGCACAACUUGUGGAAAAAUAUGUAUGGAGAAAGGAUUAAAAAAAUUAAAGCAUCUUCAACAAUCAUUAUAUAACUUGUGGAAAAAAAUAAUAUAUAGGUGGAAUGACCUGGAAUUCUUGUACUUGACUCCGUUUUGUAAAUUGGACGUCUCUAAUACUUACGAUUUUGGCAACUGAACUCUUGAGCUUAGUGAAAUAAUAUUGAUAUAAAGAGUAGGAAAAUUGAGAAUUGGCAUUGUCAGUUGAUAAAAUUAUAGGCUUAAGUCAUCGGCAGAAAAGUAAGUUUGUAUUUUUAAUUUGGUUUAUUUGACAAAAGAUAAAAGUAAGUUUGUAUUUUUAAUUUGGUUUAUUUGACAAAAGAUAAAAUUUAUGUCUUGUUGUUUGUAUGAAUUCAUAUACUUCUCCAUGCAUAUUGAUUAUUAAUAUAUUUGCAAUUACAUAUGAAUGAAGCCGCAAGGGAUGUUGAAACUGUAUAUGAAGAUGAAGAUGUGCAGGAAUCUCCAUUAAUGGAGCAAAGUAUGCAAAGAUGAAGAUGAACAGUGCAGGCGUGAGAGAGCAGACUAGUGAGUUUGUGAGAAGUGAAAAUUGUGUGCUAUUCAUUCCAUGUAAUGGACUCCUAACUAAUUUCAUAUAACCAACUAACAGAAUCUAACUAACUAACUAACUCCUUUACAAUGGUAUAAUUAGUUGAAUUAAAUAUAACUAAUCUUAACAAGGGAAAUAAGAAAUCGAAAAAAACGACCUUAAGAACACAGAUUCGUCAAAUGAACUUUACUAAUAGGUGAUCAAAUGAUACUCAGCAGAUUGAAAUGCAGGUAUGAGUGUGCAAUAAACCAGAUGUUAAAGAGUAACAAAAAAAAAAGGGAAAAGGGUCUGAUAUACCCCUCAACUUUGUUAUUUGGAGCUGAUAUACCCCUAGUUAUAAAAGUGGCUCACAUAUACCCUUGCCGUUACACAAAUGGCUUACAUAUACCCUUCAUUUAACGGAAGUUAAAAAAAUAGUUUUAAAUUUAUAUUUAUUACUUCUAAUUUUUUUUAAAAAAAUAUUUAGUGGUAUAUAUGAUUCUUCUAUCAAAGUUCAAGGUAUAUUUUAAUUUUUUUCAUACAUAAAUUAUGUUUUUGAUUUCUUUUAUUAUAAUUAUUUGAGUUUCUUAUUCUUAUUUUAUUUUUUUCUUUCAUUCCUUAGUUUAAAGAAAAAAAAUUAAACUAUUUUUUGUGUGUAUUGUAAUUUAUUUUCGAAUUCGAAGAAAAAUUUGAUCAUCUACAGUAAGUUUUACAAGAAUAUUAGUGAAACAUAAAUAAAUUUGAUUAUCAAAAUAAUAAUUAUAAAUUAGUCAUUGAAACAAAAAAAACUCAAAAAAAAUAUGUUUGACGAGGAUUAAAUUUACUCAUAUGGGAUUAUAUUAUUUAGAAAAAAAUAAUAAAAAUUAGAUAAAAACUAUUUUUUUUUUCAUUUCCGUUAGAGGAAAAGGGUAUAUGUGAGCCAUUUGUUUACAAGUAGGGGUAUAUAUGAGCCACUUUCAUAACAAGGGGUAUAUCAGCUCUAAAAGACAAAGUUGAGGGGUAUAUCAGACCCUUUUCCCAAAAAAAAAUUACCAAUAAAUUUUAAAAGUUAGUUAUUUUAGCCAAAUGAGUUAGUUGUCGGAUAACCGCAAGUUAGCGGACGUCUUAGGUGCUUUCAAAACCUUCCUAAGACGCUCAUAGGAAUCCCCGAACCCUCCUAAAAUGUUUUCAAUUGAUUUUUCUGUUUAAAUCUUUUUUAAAACAAAUGUUUUCUUGAUUUUUCUCAAAAAUUAAGUGGCGACUCUAAAAAAGUCGAAAAAACAUACAAAAUAAAUGUUUUUCCUUUUUCUUAAUAAAACAGCUAGUAACUUCUUUGACUACCUCUUACUAUGAUGCCACGAUCGAGAUGAGAUGAAGAGUAUGUCAAGCAGCAGAAUCAACAUUUUUCUUGUGAUUUCCUUAUACUAUAUAUCGGAUUUUCAAAUUUUUCUCAUCUCAUCGAUCUACUGCAAUGUUGUAUUUGAGAUUUACAAAAGAAAUUAUUUUCCAACAACUAUUUAUUAUGUAUAUUAUCAAAGUUUCGACAAAUUUGAAUGAAUAUAAGAUGAUGAAUAGAGAAGAAUAAAUGAAUUUUGAAUUAAUUGAAACUAUUACCAUUUGAGAAAGACUGACAACAAAUUAAUUAGCUUGAUUUGGGGAAAUCAAAUUCAAAAUUGAUUCCAUUUCCUUUAAAAGCGUAACUAAUUUUAUUUUAAUGUAUUAAAAUUAAUGUAUCUAAAUUAUUUUCUAUGUAUCCUAAUAACACUGAUUUUGAAAAAAAAAAAUUGUAAAUUGAAUUGUGUUUUCAAAGGGUCCAUUUAUGUUUUUAAGAAACGACACAUUUUGAAAAAAGAAUUUACGAUUCGACAAUCAUUAUCAAAAAGAAUAAAGAUGCUACAAGCUAAGUGAAAGAGACAUUUUUUUUAAAAAAAAAAAAUGUAUUAAUAGCUUCUUCACUGUUAAAUUAAGGACAAUGAAGAAAGUUAUGCAGUCAGAUGUAAAUCAAAUUGUGUUUUCAAAGGGUCCAUUUAUGUUUUUAAGAAACGAAACAUCAACAAUAAAAUAAAUUAAUAUGGAGAAACUUAUAUAAAUAUACGACAAAUAAAAAAUAUUUAUCAUUAUAGCAAUAAUAUAUUUUUUUCAUUCUAUCACCUUUAAUACAUUUAUAAUUUAUAUUAUAAAAGAUAAUUUAUUAUUCACAUAUAAUACAAGUUUUAUAUAUUUAUCUCAUGUUUUAAUACAUUUAUAAUUCAAUGUGUUAACUUCUUAUAAAACACGCAUAAUAUAUUUUAUAAAAUAGUUAUAAUACAUAUCAUUGCAUACUUAAUUCAUUUUUAAUAUAUAUUAAAAAUUUAAUAUAGUAUUGUUAUAAAUGACAAUAAAUUAAAAAUAUCGCUAAAAUCAGUAAUUAUUUAUUAAAAAGUAUCUAUCCAAGUAUUUACAUACAAAUUUAAUACUAAUUUUUCAUAGAGAAAUUUUAAGUGUUUAGUAUUAUUUUUUAUUAUUUUUAAAUAAAAAAUUUUUUAACAAAAAUAUUAAAUCAAAUUUGAUCAACAUUUUUUCCCCAAUAAAGUAAUAUAAUAAUGUAGAUUAAUUCAUAAACAAAUUUCAGGCUUGGUAACACUCAUGAUUUAAAAUUUAAGUUUUCUUUUUACUAUUGCAUACUGAUAUAAAUUUAAAGAUUUUAAAAUAAUUUAUUUUAUAUAAAAUUGUUAUAUGUAAUUUUCUUAAAUAUCUUUACUUUAAUUUAUCUUUUCACAAGUAAAAAUUAGAAUUAAGAAGUGCCUCUCAUUAUUACAUGAAGCUCAACAUGAAAUAUAUCUUAAAUAAUAACAGAAAAAUGAUUAGUAAUUAAUAUAACACACUAUUUUCUUUAUAUUCUUUUUCUCAGGUAGAAUGAUAUAUAUAGUUAAUAUUUUUUUUCUAAAUUCAUAUCAAAAUUAUAUUUUCUUCGUCUUAAUUAAUUUUUCUUAUUUUUUUAAAAAAAACUUUAUAUAUUUAAAAAUUAUGUAAAAUAUGUAAUUAUAAUAAUUAGAAAUUUAUAAUAGUUACAUGACAUAUAAAAAAAUUAGGUUGACUCUCAAAAUUUUAUUAAUGACACGUAAACGAAGGCAUACAAAAUAACAUAUACUAUUUGAAAUGAUAUAAAAAUAUUAUAAAUCACAAUAAAUAAUACUUUAAGAUACUUUUAUAAUAUAAAAUAAAUUUGAUUGACUUUCAAUGAAAUUAUAAUUUGAAUUAUUUAUUUAACAUUUCGGAGAAAUGCCAAAAAAAUAAAAAUGAUUUGGAGUUUAAAUGUGAACCUUUUUAGUUUUGGAUUCUACUUUUGAAAAUUUCUUAUAUUAUUCUAGGGUAAAUAAAAUAGUGUAUGGAAUGAAUAUUGAUUUUUAAAACUAAGGCACUGUCCAUUAAUCUUUUCCUUUUUAACCCAUUAUUUUGAUGUAUUUAAUUAGUUUCAAUUAAUAGUAUACGAAAUAAAAAUUACACUGAACAAUUAAUUAACUAAUGAAAUUUUAAUGAAUAUAUUUGUAUUUGUAAGUAAAAUUUGAAUCAGUGUCACAUAAAUAGGAUAAAUGAAGUAACAUACAUUAUUUGCAAUUGAGGUAAAUAAUAAUUUAAGUUAUAAUAAUUAACAAACUUAAAAAUUCAAAACAUAUAUAAUACAAUAAUUAACAACUUUUAAUAUCUUAAACAAUUAAAAAUUGAUCGACUCUCCAAAUUCUAUUUGUAUCAUAUAUGACAUAAAUAAUAUUGUGAAUCGUAAUAAUUAACAAUUUGAUAAUUUAAUAUAUAUAUAUAAUUCACAACUUAAAAAUUUAAAAGACAUAUAGUAUUAUGUUUUGACUAAUACAGAAUGUUGUGUGUAGAGUGUAUAUUUAGAUAUAUAAUAAUAACCUUUUAUAUGAAAUUAAUUGUUUUUCAUAACUAUGAUGAAUAUAAUUUUUUUGUGAAUCUAAGAAGGAAUAACAAAAUACAACAAUUGAGUAGAUUGAAUGUUACACUACUUUAAGAAAAAGAAAAAAAGUAUUUUAAUUUUUUAAUGUUAUUAACUUAUUAGUAUAUUAAAAAAAUAUAAUUUAUCAAAAAUAAUAGUUUUUUAUUUAAAAAAUGAACAAAUAUUUGAAAGUUCGGUUGUGACAAAAAAAAUAUAAAUAGAAUAACCGAUAAAAAUCUUAAUAUUUUGAGAAAAAGGAUGAUUAUAAAAAAAAAAUGCAUUAAAAUGAAAAAAAAAUAUGUAUUUUGAACUACUUAAAAUACAAUACUCAAAAAGUAUUAGUUUUAAAACUAUCAUAUCAAAAUUUGGUGUCAAUAAUUUUUUAUCAUGUCUUUUUUUUCCUCAAGUAUAUUUUUAACAAUAUAGUUCCACAAAAUAUAAAAGAAAUAUUGAAUUUCUUUUCUAACUAAAAAAUAUAUUAUAAUUGCGAUGAGUCAUAUCAAAUGAAGUUGGUUUAGAAAUGUAAUAUUGAUUGUGAUGGUAGGACAAGGGUUAACUGAUUAAUAUGAGUGUAUUGUACGUGUUAUCUAUGAAUUUAAUUAAGUUAAUCAUUUUUUUUAAUCAAAACAUAAUAUAUAUAUAUAUAUAAAAUUGACAAAUUCAUAUAAAAUUUUAACUCAUAAAUUCACAUUAAAAUCAGAAUCUUCAAGCUCCACACUUUAGAUAUUAUGUUACAAACCAAUUAUGUUCAAAGCAAGAGAAGAUAAAGUAAAGCAAUUUAUGUUCAAACCAAUAAUUAGAGUCACUCAAAAACAAGAAAUCAAACACUAAAACCUCUUAGAUUAUGAAGACCUAGAAGUCCUCUUCAACAGCUCCACGCAUUUCAUUCUCUCAGGAAUCUCCUUUAAAUUUGGACAGUGAUCGAUACCAAGACCUUUAAUGAGAGGCAUAGCGUUUGUGCCUGAAUGCCAUGUUUCUAGGUGAUAAAGCAUAGAAAGAUUAAGAAAUUGUAGUUGACAGAAGCUGUUAUCACUGCAUAUUAUUUCUUUUCCCAAAUAAGCUUCUAUUAAUUGGAGAUUCCUUAGGUUUGGCAACAUUCCCAAAAUAGGCAUCGGAUCUUCUGUCAGUUUUGAGUGACUCAUAGUCAUCAUUGUGAUGGAAUUCGAAAACGGAUUAGGCAGUUUCUCUAUGAUCCCAUUUAAAUACAAUUUCUGGAGCUUUUCACAACGAAUUACAAAUUCAAUAGAUGGGAAUGAUUCAAUAAAUUCACUAGACAAUUCGAGUGAGUCAAGGUUUUUCAAGCUGCUAAUGUUGUUUAGAGAGUAAGAUUUCCUAAUACUAUCCAUUCUUAAUUCUCGAAGAUUGACUAAAUCAACAGGGUCAAUAUCUUUCCAUUGAUCACAUUGGAUGGCUUGAAGAACUUGAAGAUUAGUGAGUUUGUUUAUAUGUAACAGGGGUUCUACACAUGGAACAACUAAAUGUCUUAAAUUUAUCAGGUCAGCUGCCUCGCGGGGUAGUUGGAAAGUGUAUGCGCCCUCUACGACAACAAGUGUCUGCAGAUUCUUGAGGUUGCCAAUGGAAGAGGGAAGAUAACGGAUAGAUGACAAACUUAACAACUUGAGGUGGUACAAACUUCCUAUGGCAUCAGGGAUAAUUCCACCAAAAUUAUCCAAGUACAACACAUAUAGAUAUUGGAACACACUCCUGAAGUUUAUAAGACUCAUCUUACAAAAAUCUAGAUCGAAGAACAUAAUUGACCUCAACUUUAAGUUAGAAAGAUCAAGUGAGAGGUACCUUUCUCCUUGAUUAUGUAUGCCAUGUCUGAUACAUGAAGAAGAUAUGGAGUGACUUUUCUGAUCAUAAAUGUCAAAGAAGUUUACUUCCAAUGCCUUUUGUAUCGCAAGAUCAUGGAGUAAAUCAUGAACCCUACAUUCAGUAACUCUUUCCCAAAAUGUAUCCACCACUUGAACCAAGCUUCUUCUUAUCAGUUCAUUCAAGAAGCCUUCAGCGACAUCCUCCAUUCUUUCUACUCUUCUUCUGGGUAUGAAACCCUCCGCCAUCCACAACCAUAUUAUGUUAUCAGCCUUGACCACUUUAUCUUCUGGAAAAAUACCAAAGUAGAGAAAGCACUGCUUGAGCGCAGUUGACAAAUCAUUGUAGCUUAAUGAUAGUAUGUUGGAGAUUUCAAUAGAUUUAUCUUCUUUAAUGUUCUUCCAAAGGUGAUCUUUCACUUUUUUCCAUUCGUUUAGCCCCUUUUUAUGCGAAAGUAGUCCGCUCAAUACAACAAUUGCAAGAGGUAAGCCUCUACACUUUUCCACCAUAUCCUUAGCUAGACCUUCCAUUUCUGGAACCAUUGCUCGAACAUCAAGUAGUUUCCUGCAAAAGAGAUCCCAACUUUCUUCUUGGCUUAGGAAACGAAG
rnacentral:lncRNA from 1 species